UUUAAUUCAAUUUCAAGUUUACUGUUUUGUUUGUUAUUAACUUUAUGAAUUUUCUUUUUGGAUGAACAUUCAUAGUUGUCAAAAUCAAUUCUACUUCACUAGAAUCAAUUCUACGGAAUGAUGGCAAAUGGUUUUACAGCUUCACAAUAGCUAGCUGCUGUUAUUUCUUCAGCUGUUUACUCCCUGUAGAAUCUUUUUCCGGUUUUCUUAUCCCAAAAGCGUAUUCCGGGGUGGUGGAUUUGGUUCUAUUAUAUCUGCCCUGUUCAAUGGACAUUAUAACAUCUCAGCUUGGUUAUGUGGAAACAACAAUUGUGGGACCAGGAUUCCAAGGCACUGUGAGAGAGUGGGCAUGCUGAUAAUAGUAUUUAGGGUGAUAUCCUCUGAUGGAACCAGAAUCUUGGAAACAGCCAAUGCGCCCCGUGCUCCAGUAACUUGCCUCGGCCUUUCAUCCGAUAGUAACCACCUGGUGUCAGGAUCCCAAGAUACAACAAUAUUACUCUGGAGAAUACAUAAAGCACUUGCAUCUCACUCAAGUGUAUAUGCAUAAAGCCCUUGGAAGCUGGUGGUGAAGUUGAAGACUCUUUGAGAUGGCAGAGGAUACAAUGUGCUUGAACUGCAAUGAUAGGUUGGAGAAUAAAAAUGGAUCACAUGUAUCCGAGGAUGGAAGCCUGCAGAAUUAUCAAAGGAAUAGAUGGAUAAAGUCCCCAGUUUCUGAAGGAGCUGCUAGACACACAAUCAUUUUAUGGUAAUUUUCUUUCAAAUAUAAUUGGACCAAAAAGCAAAAGUGAUAUGAACAACUGCUACAAUAG